AUCCAAGUGCAGGCGACAAGUUGGAUGUGAAACAAUGUUUCUACCAACAGUGAAGCCUGCGUAAGAGGAGCAAAUAAAAACAAAAUGAAAGAGGAAAAAAAUGGGUCUGACGUUGAAAAGCUUUGGAAAUUCCUCCUUCGGCUCUGCAGAAGCUUAUUUUUCACAAGUUGUCGGGAAACUACAGUCGUUUGCUGCGUUAUCAAAAGUCUGGAAAGAGAAAUGUAAAAAUGUUCUCCAUUAUUUUUUUUCGAAAGUGUUGCAAGACCGAUUUUCUUCAGAGGUUGACGCGCAUCGGACACCUUCAGUGUCUCGCUGGCUCGCGGACAGUAGUCGAAUUAAACCAACUUGGAUCCCUGUGGAGCUGCCUCGAAGAGGGAUCCUAAUAUCACAUAUCAGUUAGAUGACCAAGUUCAGGGCCUGCAUGACUGCUGCAGCACAGCGCCGGAGCUUGCAUCAGUGGAAUACUGUUGGGGAUACAUCGGACCACACCCAUAUACUGAUAGACCCUCUGAUUGGAUAUCACAUGGAUGUCUUGACCACUACCAUGGCUUUCAUGCAAAUUGAUGAAGGAGCAAAGAAGCAGCUGUGAGAAGCCUGGAAGGUCCCCCAACUCUGCCCCUCACCUGUGUCACAUCUGCCUCCCAGUGCCAUCAAGGUGCGUCAAUCUUCAACCCUGGCAUCUCUUUACCUGUGGCACUACGCUGCACCUUCCUGGCUAGCACGCUUCUAUCCUCCCCCAUCCCUCCCACCUCUUGUUCCUCACGGCAUCUGUCACUCACCUGUCAUUUCUCUCAUCAACUCCUGCCUCCAUCCUACCUUCUUGAAUUGGGCCUCGGCGAGGGCGGGGAGGGAACCAUUGGAGCGAAAAUGGUGACCACUUUGCCCCAGAUCCAGGUUUAGCUGCUGCGAAUUAUGACACAUCAGGGA